UUGAGAGUUUGAUCCUGGCUCAGAACGAACGCUGGCGGCAGGCUUAACACAUGCAAGUCGAACGCCCCGCAAGGGGAGUGGCAGACGGGUGAGUAACGCGUGGGAACAUACCCUUUCCUGCGGAAUAGCUCCGGGAAACUGGAAUUAAUACCGCAUACGCCCUACGGGGGAAAGAUUUAUCGGGGAAGGAUUGGCCCGCGUUGGAUUAGCUAGUUGGUGGGGUAAAGGCCUACCAAGGCGACGAUCCAUAGCUGGUCUGAGAGGAUGAUCAGCCACAUUGGGACUGAGACACGGCCCAAACUCCUACGGGAGGCAGCAGUGGGGAAUAUUGGACAAUGGGCGCAAGCCUGAUCCAGCCAUGCCGCGUGAGUGAUGAAGGCCUUAGGGUUGUAAAGCUCUUUCACCGGAGAAGAUAAUGACGGUAUCCGGAGAAGAAGCCCCGGCUAACUUCGUGCCAGCAGCCGCGGUAAUACGAAGGGGGCUAGCGUUGUUCGGAAUUACUGGGCGUAAAGCGCACGUAGGCGGAUAUUUAAGUCAGGGGUGAAAUCCCAGAGCUCAACUCUGGAACUGCCUUUGAUACUGGGUAUCUUGAGUAUGGAAGAGGUAAGUGGAAUUCCGAGUGUAGAGGUGAAAUUCGUAGAUAUUCGGAGGAACACCAGUGGCGAAGGCGGCUUACUGGUCCAUACUG
rnacentral:rRNA from 1 species